UCGACUUGGAGGUUGUGCCCUUGAGGCGUGGCUUCCGGAGCUAACGCGUUAAGUCGACCGCCUGGGGAGUACGGCCGCAAGGUUAAAACUCAAAUGAAUUGACGGGGGCCCGCACAAGCGGUGGAGCAUGUGGUUUAAUUCGAUGCAACGCGAAGAACCUUACCUACUCUUGACAUCCAGAGAACUUAGCAGAGAUGCUUUGGUGCCUUCGGGAACUCUGAGACAGGUGCUGCAUGGCUGUCGUCAGCUCGUGUUGUGAAAUGUUGGGUUAAGUCCCGCAACGAGCGCAACCCUUAUCCUUUGUUGCCAGCGGUUAGGCCGGGAACUCAAAGGAGACUGCCAGUGAUAAACUGGAGGAAGGUGGGGAUGACGUCAAGUCAUCAUGGCCCUUACGAGUAGGGCUACACACGUGCUACAAUGGCAUAUACAAAGAGAAGCGACCUCGCGAGAGCAAGCGGACCUCAUAAAGUAUGUCGUAGUCCGGAUUGGAGUCUGCAACUCGACUCCAUGAAGUCGGAAUCGCUAGUAAUCGUGGAUCAGAAUGCCACGGUGAAUACGUUCCCGGGCCUUGUACACACCGCCCGUCACACCAUGGGAGUGGGUUGCAAAAGAAGUAGGUAGCUUAACCUUCGGGAGGGCGCUUACCACUUUGUGAUUCAUGACUGGGGUGAAGUCGUAACAAGGUAACCGUAGGGGAACCUGCGGUUG
rnacentral:rRNA from 1 species